GAUGAACGCUGGCGGCGUGCCUAAUACAUGCAAGUCGAGCGAACGGACGAGAAGCUUGCUUCUCUGAUGUUAGCGGCGGACGGGUGAGUAACACGUGGAUAACCUACCUAUAAGACUGGGAUAACUUCGGGAAACCGGAGCUAAUACCGGAUGAUAUUUUGAACCGCAUGGUUCAAAAGUGAAAGACGGUCUUGCUGUCACUUAUAGAUGGAUCCGCGCUGCAUUUGCUAGUUGGUAAGGUAACGGCUUACCAAGGCAACGAUGCAUAGCCGACCUGAGAGGGUGAUCGGCCACACUGGAACUGAGACACGGUCCAGACUCCUACGGGAGGCAGCAGUAGGGAAUCUUCCGCAAUGGGCGAAAGCCUGACGGAGCAACGCCGCGUGAGUGAUGAAGGUCUUCGGAUCGUAAAACUCUGUUAUUAGGGAAGAACAUAUGUGUAAGUAACUGUGCGCAUCUUGACGGUACCUAAUCAGAAAGCCACGGCUAACUACGUG
rnacentral:rRNA from 1 species